AAACCAUCAUGAAAGAGCUGGGACACGAACAUAGAGUGCUGGAUGUUUUGAAAAUCGACGUAGAAGGACACGAGUGGGCGGUCGUGAAAAAUAUAAUGGAAGAUGGAAUUUUCAAGAAAAUUAGACAAUUCUACUUAGAAUGGCAUCUUUUUCCUGACUGGCCAGCCAAAAGUUCAUACGUUAGUUUAUACCAGCUGUAUACAAAGUUAACUCAGCUUGGGCUAACAGCCUUUAGGAAAAGCCCACAUCCACACAACUUUAAUCCACGUAGUUUCAAUAUACAAGGGGACAAUAAUUAUAUAAAUCUCAAUUUCACCAGUGUUGCAUAACAGGACAUUAUGAAGUGCCGUGGCGGGAGGCUGUGCAAAUGUCGAUGAGAUCCCAUUUGGAUUCCUGGCAUCGAGCGUAUUUGUUCAUUUUCAUUUUCCAUCAAUCGGUGACAGGACAACGAUGAAAUUACUCAAUAUUGCGUUGUAUAUUUAUUUCUGCUUAUGUGACUCCUCAGUGAAAGUAUGGAGUUUCCUUGGGUUACGACGCAAACAUGGAUGCUCUACUAGCAUGGCUCAUAUUGCCUCAUGUUACCAUCUCUUGAUGCUUCUGUGGACAUGACAUAUACACAUCCCAUGUUCCCACAAGUCCCAAGGUGACGAGAGAGAGAGAGAGAGAGAGAGAGAGAGUUUCUUAAGCGUAUGCAAGAAGUGUUGUGAUAUGGUUUCUGCUUGUUGAACGUGACUGCCUCCACAAAUACAUGUGACAAUCAUUAACGACUAUUCACGGAGGAAAGGGUACAACGAAACGAAACGAAACCUAGGCAACACAUCGAUGGCAUGUUAAAAUAUGUACUUUUUCUGGACAACAACCUCGUAUUAAUUGUU